rnacentral:misc_RNA from 1 species
UUUUUUUUUUUUUUUUGGUAAUAUUUAUAUCAUGCUUCAUAUUUGAGUCUUUGCUCACCUUUUAUGUGAAAGAAUUUCAUUAGAUUGCAUUUUCUUUGAUUGGACAUAGACUAGUAUAUUUAUAUUACUCAAAUAAAAAUUCAGAAGUGAUGGUAGAUUUGUUUACACUCCCUCUAUUGAGAUUUAUAUCCAAUGUGUGACAAAUAAAUGCAUUGGUUCCAGAUCUAAUACCUACUUUGGGUUACUAAGUAGCAACACAAAUUCAUUACCACGGUU